rnacentral:rRNA from 1 species
CAAUAGCGUAUAUUAAAGUUGUUGCAGUUAAAAAGCUCGUAGUUGGAUUUCUGAAUUGAAUAUCCGGUCCGCUCGUCUCUGAUGAGUGCGUACUUAUGGAUAUUGGAUUCAUUUUUUGUGAGGACAUUUAUCUGUCAUUAAGUUGAUGGAUUUAUAGACUUGCAUCGUUUACUGUGAAAAAAUUAGAGUGUUUAAAGCAGGCGUUCGCCCAUUUGAAUACAUUAGCAUGGAAUAAUAAGAUAUGACUUUGGUGGUCUAUUUUGUUGGUUUGCACACCAGAGUAAUGAUUAAUAGGGACAGUUGGGGGUAUUCAUAUUUCAACGUCAGAGGUGAAAUUCUUGGAUUUACGCAAGACAAACAGCUGCGAAAGCGUCUGCCAAGGAUGUUUUCAUUAA